rnacentral:rRNA from 1 species
GGAUGCGAUCAUACCAGCACUAAAGCAUCGGAUCCCAUCAGAACUCCGAAGUCAAGCGUGCUUGGGCGAGAGUAGUACUAGGAUGGGUGACCUCCUGGGAAGUCCUCGUGUUGCAUUCC